AUGAAGACGCUGGGGUUCCUUCUAUGCCUGAUCGCAGCACCCCUUGGUGUCUUGUCUGAACUGACAUUGAGGGAGUCAGGCCCAGGACUGGUGAAGCCCUCGCAGACCCUGUCCCUCACCUGCACCGUCUCUGGGGGCUCUGUCACCAGCAGUGACUGGUGGCAUUGGAUCCCCCAGCGUCCUGGGAAAGCGCUGGAGUGGAUGGGGUACUGGACAGGGGGAACGUACUACAACCCAGCUUUCCAGGGCCGCAUCUCCAUCACCGCCAACACACCCAACAACCAGUUCUCCCUGCAGCUGAACUCCGUGACCGCCGACGACACAGCCGUGUACUUCUGUGCAAGAGACACAGUGACGGGGAAGUCAGCGUGA